AGAAUCAACGCUGGCGGCGUGCCUCAGACAUGCAAGUCGAACGCGAAAGUCCCCUUCGGGGGACAAGUAGAGUGGCGCACGGGUGAGUAACACGUAGGUAAUCUACCUUCGGAUGGGGAAUAACAAUCGGAAACGAUUGCUAAUACCGCAUAAUGCAGCGGCACCUAAUGGUGACAGUUGUUAAAGCGGGGGAUCGAAAGACCUCGCGUCUGAAGAGGAGCCUGCGGCGGAUUAGCUAGUUGGUAAGGUAAUGGCUUACCAAGGCUACGAUCC
rnacentral:rRNA from 1 species